ACGCUCGACACUACGGGAGCAGCAGUCGGGAAUAUUGCGCAAUGGAGGAAACUCUGACGCAGUGACGCCGCGUAUAGGAAGAAGGUUUUCGGAUUGUAAACUAUUGUCGUUAGGGAAGAAAAAGACAGUACCUAAGGAGGAAGCUCCGGCUAACUACGUGUCAGCAGCCGCGGUAAUCUGAGCGGGCUGGCAAGGC
rnacentral:rRNA from 1 species